CAGCAUGUUUCCAGGGCUGUGGCUAGUUGUAGCCAUGGGGUUUCCAGCUGCUUACGAGGGCAACCUGGAGACACUUUGACAGCUCAGGUUAGCAUAAUACCUGCAGCUGCCACUCGUCUUUUCUGCAAUA